GGUGAAAUUCUUGGACCGUCGCAAGACGGACAGAAGCGAAAGCAUUUGCCAAAAACGUUUUCAUUGAUCAAGAACGAAAGUUAGAGGUUCGAAGGCGAUCAGAUACCGCCCUAGUUCUAACCAUAAACGAUGCCAGCUAGCGAUCCGCCGACGUUCCUCCGAUGACUCGGCGGGCAGCUUCCGGGAAACCAAAGCUUUUGGGUUCCGGGGGAAGUAUGGUUGCAAAGCUGAAACUUAAAGGAAUUGACGGAAGGGCACCACCAGGAGUGGAGCCUGCGGCUUAAUUUGACUCAACACGGGAAACCUCACCAGGCCCGGACACCGGAAGGAUUGACAGAUUGAGAGCUCUUUCUUGAUUCGGUGGGUGGUGGUGCAUGGCCGUUCUUAGUUGGUGGAGCGAUUUGUCUGGUUAAUUCCGAUAACGAACGAGACUCUGGCCUGCUAACUAGGCGUAUUUCCGACAUCUCGAAGGCCCGCCGGCCUGGUGCGUUCGCGUGCCAAGUCGUGCGCGGUUUUUACUGUCGGCGUACAAACAAUUCUUCUUAGAGGGACAGGCGGCUUCUAGCCGCACGAGAUAGAGCAAUAACAGGUCUGUGAUGCCCUUAUAUGUUCUGGGCCGCACGCGCGCUACACUGAAGGAAUCAGCGUGUCCUCCCUGGCCGAGCGGCCCGGGUAACCCGCUGAACCUCCUUCGUGCUAGGGAUUGGGGCUUGCAAUUGUUCCCCAUGAACGAGGAAUUCCCAGUAAGCGCGAGUCAUAAGCUCGCGUUGAUUACGUCCCUGCCCUUUGUACACACCGCCCGUCGCUACUACCGAUUGAAUGAUUUAGUGAGGUCUUCGGACCGGCACGCGGUGGCGUUUCGACGUUGCCGAUGAUGCUGGAAAGAUGACCAAACUUGAUCAUUU
rnacentral:rRNA from 1 species